rnacentral:tRNA from 1 species
GGCGGGAUUGUGCAGUGGUUAAAUACAUGGACUCUGGACCCUGACUAGCCUUGGGUUCAAAUCCCAGUCUUGCCA